rnacentral:rRNA from 1 species
GACGAACGCUGGCGGCGUGCUUAACACAUGCAAGUCGAACGGAAAGGCCCUGCUUUUGUGGGGUGCUCGAGUGGCGAACGGGCGAGUAACACGUGAGUAACCUGCCCUUGACUUUGGGAUAACUUCAGGAAACUGGGGCUAAUACCGGAUAGGAGCUCCUGCUGCAUGGUGGGGGUUGGAAAGUUUCGGCGGUUGGGGAUGGACUCGCGGCUUAUCAGCUUGUUGGUGGGGUAGUGGCUUACCAAGGCUUUGACGGGUAGCCGGCCUGAGAGGGUGACCGGCCACAUUGGGACUGAGAUGCGGCCCAGACUCCUACGGGAGGCAGCAGUGGGGAAUAUUGCACAAUGGGCGGAAGCCUGAUGCAGCAACGCCGCGUGCGGGAUGACGGCCUUCGGGUUGUAAACCGCUUUCGCCUGUGACGAAGCGUGAGUGACGGUAAUGGGUAAAGAAGCACCGGCUAACUACGUG